GCCCUAGUAGCUCAGC
rnacentral:tRNA from 4 species